UAGGCCCAAGACAUCCCAGCAGCCAUUUUUUUAAGUUCUGCUCCAAGCUAGCACCACGCUAACACCACGCUGAAGUCUCUCUCAUUUUCGUUUUGCUCACAUUGUGUAAAACUGUGUUAAUUAUUCACUCCACUGAAGCCAGUCAUUUCUACAGUUACAUUCAGUUCUUGUCAUCGAGUAUUGUAUACUCAGUGGUCCCCUGGAUGGAAUAAAACCCGAAUAAUUUGUGGAAUUGGAAAAUUUGGAAGAACCACGCUUUUUCAUGGAAUGGUUUUUGUUUAGCCACUUGCAUCAAAAACACGCAUUUGUUAAUUAAUCUUUAUAGAAUGUGACACAGUGGUAAGCCAUGGGAAUAGCAGGGUGAUCUGCAAUUUCUGGACAUUCCUGCUGCAGAGCUUCAACAAGACAUAGAGAAAAAUAAUCUCAACUCAGAGGAUCCUCUGAAAGAUAGAGAAGGAAGGGAGUUUGAAGCUGUACCAGCCAGUUUUGUCUAUUAUGAGUAUCAACUGCUUAUGUUUGGUUCUUUAUUAAGACGAUUAUUAAUGCAUAGAAUUUUUCAUAUUUAACCAUUGUUUGAUGACUUUGUCCGAGAUGCCAAUAACGUUCCUGCAACAACCUUUAGCUCAUGAACCCUUUUGGAUCCAACAAUUUAGGAGAAAAUUGCUUUGGAGCUGCUCUUGUUGAUGAGCUUAUAACGGACAGGAAAAAACUAAUUCUGCACUUGCUAAAAAACUGCCAGUGGCUACUGCACCAAAACUGCAAGUGGCUCCUGCUCAAAACCGGCAAGUCGCUCCUGCCCAAAUACUGCUAGUCGCUCCUGCCCAGACACCAAAAUUUGUGGAAUCGAACACCGGUCUCCGGCGUUCUAGCCGGAACCUCUACACAUAUGCCAGCGGUAUCUACGAAACCACGCACAAACAGCUAGCUAAUUUUUUUGAUUAAGGAAUGUUUCAAAGCCUUAGCUCAACAUUUCCAACUGUCGCUUAAAAAAACACACCCCCUGAGGGAUUCAUAAAUGACCUGACCUGUUACUUGCCCUGAAGAAAAAAAGCAAGAUGUAGACUUUCCCAACCCUGCCCUGUCAUCUCCUCACCCCGUCUACACUACCUAUUAAAAAAAAAUAAAAAAUAAACGCGUUACCCCGCCAAAAGAUGGCUUUCAACAUUUGAAUCGGUAGUCGGAUUUUUGUGCAGGAUACUGUACGUAUAGAAGAACUCUAAUAGAGUGCCACGUAGCGGUAGAGCACUAUCGCAUCUAUCUAUAGUAACUGAGAUCGGCAACCAUAAUUAGGUGUAUGUUGUAUUUCUCAGCUUCAUUAGAAACACACGGGAAUUUAUGCUUUUUGGGAACAGCUGCUAUGGAAGGAAAUCUCUACCGACAAGACUGCUGGACAUCUCAGAUUAUAUUGCGGGAAAUCUCCGAUAAAAAGAUCGCCGGACAUGACAACCGAGUCCAUAGUUUCAAUCACCGCAACAAUAUGGAAGAAGCUUAGUUCUUAACACAAAUAUCUAUGUAACAGUGUUCCCUAAGAUUAAACAAUUUUGUGUAAACAGUGAUACUAUUCUUGACGAAAACAAAAAAAUCGGAUGUUUAUAUAUGCAAGUGUUCAGUAUGUAAUCUCUAUUCAGUGAAGGAGAUGGAAGAUCAACAUCCUCUUUGGAUAGGGGGAAGGAAUGAAGUAGGUUGAAACUGCUUUCAUUAUGCUUGACGGCAACUUGCCGUAGUCCUGAAGUUGAAGUGACGCACAGUGCACACACUACGUCACCACGCAUACGAUUUUAGCCGCUCUUAUUGCGCUUAGCGGUAACUCACCAUGACCCGUAGUUACUGAUGGCGCGUAGUAUGUUACUCUCUCACCACACCCACUUCUGUCUCUACCGCCUAGGCGUGUUGAUGAUUUCUCCCAUGGCGUUUGCAACUGUUGCUACUUAAGUGUUUAAAAAAAACCUCCUUUUCGCUAUUGAGCUUAGAUUUGCCCGUGCUCGCAUCUUGUGUAUACUUGUACCGGGAUAUAAAUAAACGGCCUAUGUUCUCUUA